UCCAGACUCCUACGGGAGGCAGCAGUGGGGAAUAUUGCGCAAUGGGCGAAAGCCUGACGCAGCGACGCCGCGUGAGGGAUGAAGGUCUUCGGAUCGUAAACCUCUGUCAGCAGGGAAGAACGGUCACUGUGCUAAUCAGCAGUGAAUUGACGGUACCUGCAAAGGAAGCACCGGCUAACUCCGUGCCAGCAGCCGCGGUAAUACGUAGGUGGCAAGCGUUAUCCGGAUUUAUUGGGUGUAAAGGGCGUGUAGGCGGGAAAGCAAGUCAGAUGUGAAAACUCAGGGCUCAACCCUGAGCCUGCAUUUGAAACUGUUUUUCUUGAGUGCUGGAGAGGCAAUCGGAAUUCCGUGUGUAGCGGUGAAAUGCGUAGAUAUACGGAGGAACACCGGUGGCGAAGGCGGCCUGCUGGACUGCGACUGACGUUGAGGCCCGAAAGCGUGGGGAGCAAACAGGAUUAGAUACCCGCGUAUAA
rnacentral:rRNA from 1 species